rnacentral:rRNA from 1 species
CCUACGGGAGGCUGCAGUGGGGAAUAUUGCACAAUGGGGGAAACCCUGAUGCAGCGACGCCGCGUGAGUGAAGAAGUAAUUCGUUAUGUAAAGCUCUAUCAGCAGGGAAGAAAAUGACGGUACCUGAGUCAGAAGCACCGGCUAACUACGUGCCAGCAGCCGCGGUAAUACGUAGGGGGCAACCGUUAUCCGGAUUUACUGGGUGUAAAGGGAGCGUAGACGGCAGUGCAAGUCUGGAGUGAAAGGCGGGGGCUCAACCCCCGGACUGCUCUGGAAACUGGACGGCUGGAGUGCAGGAGAGGUAAGUGGAAUUCCUGGUGUAGCGGUGAAAUGCGUAGAUAUUAGGAGGAACACCAGUGGCGAAGGCAGCUUACUGGACUGUAACUGACGUUGAGGCUCGAAAGCGUGGGGAGCAAACAGGAUUAGAUACCCCUGUAGUC